rnacentral:rRNA from 1 species
AUUGAACGCUGGCGGCAGGCCUAACACAUGCAAGUCGAGCGAGCGGCGGACGGGUGAGUAAUGUAUGGGGACUGCCCGAUAGCGGGGGAUAACUACUGGAAACGGUAGCUAAUACCGCAUACUAUCGGAUAACCCAUAUGGGAUUAGCUAGUAGGUGAGGUAAUGGCUGACCUGGGCGACGCUCCCUUGCUGGUCUGAGAGGAUGAUCAGCCAUACUGGAACUGGGACACGCCCCAGCCUCCUACGGAGGCAGCAGUGGGUAAUAUUGGACAAUGGGCGCAAGCCUGAUGCAGCCAUGCCGCGUGUGUGAAGAAGGCCCUGGGUUGGUAAAGUACUUUCAGUCGGUAGGCGUUACCGACAGAAGAAGCACCGGCUAACUCCGUGCCAGCAGCCGCGGUAAUAC